ACAUCUCAUCUCAUUUUUAUGUAAGUCAUUUAUUUAAUUUAUCUAUCUUAAAGCCUUUAUUUAGCUCUUUAUUUAUAUUAAAACUAAAGUUAUAAGUUGUUUUGUUGUUUAUCUUACAGGUCAUACGUUAAUUUAUCAACCCCGGUAACCUUUCGUAUUGACGUUAUACAAUCAUUGAUCUAAUAUACACGAUAUCGAUAUCCAACAAAACCUUUGACGUUAGGAUUGAAACGGCUAAUGGAAUGGAACAGGCAGCUAUAACGCUUCUAAAUAAUGUUGAUCUUAAUGUUGAUGAUUACACUAUAAGAAUCCGUAUUGUUCGGCUAUGGACAAGACCUUCUUUCAACAAUCCUAGGAAGGUUUAUUGCUACGACAUGAUAUUCAUGGAUCAGGAGGGCACCAAAAUGCAGGCUUUCGUGUUACAAAAAAACACUACUGCUUACGAGCAUUUGCUGAAAGAAAAUCAGUGUUUAACUAUUCGUAAUCCUUCUCUUGGAGAAAACCGUCAGAAAGUGAAAUACGUUCAUAGUUCGUUCAAGAUAAAUCUAAAUGAGAACACCAUUGUCGAGCAA